UGUCUAGGUGUGACCAGGAGCUGGUGGG
rnacentral:piRNA from 1 species